CCGGGGUAGGAGUGAAAUCCUGUAAUCCUGGACGGACCGCCGGUGGCGAAAGCGCCUCAGGAAGACGGACCCGACGGUAAGGGACGAAAGCUAGGGUCUCGAACCGGAUUAGAUACCCGGGUAGUCCUAGCUGUAAACGAUGCUCGCUAGGUGUGCCGCAGGCUACGAGCCUGCGCUGUGCCGUAGGGAAGCCGUGAAGCGAGCCGCCUGGGAAGUACGUCUGCAAGGAUGAAACUUAAAGGAAUUGGCGGGGGAGCACUACAACCGGAGGAGCCUGCGGUUUAAUUGGACUCAACGCCGGACAUCUCACCAGCACCGACAAUGUGCAGUGAAGGUCAGGUUGAUGACCUUACUGGAGCCAUUGAGAGGAGGUGCAUGGCCGCCGUCAGUUCGUACCGUGAGGCGUCCUGUUAAGUCAGGCAACGAGCGAGACCCGCACUCUUAGUUGCCAGCAGCAUCUUGCGAUGGCUGGGUACACUAGGAGGACCGCCGCUGCCAAAGCGGAGGAAGGAACGGGCAACGGUAGGUCAGUAUGCCCCGAAUGUGCUGGGCUACACGCGGGCUACAAUGGCCGGGACAGUGGGACGCCAGUCCGAGAGGACGCGCUAAUCCCCGAAACCCGGUCGUAGUUCGGAUUGAGGGCUGAAACCCGCCCUCAUGAAGCUGGAUUCGGUAGUAAUCGCGUGUCAGAAGCGCGCGGUG
rnacentral:rRNA from 1 species